rnacentral:rRNA from 1 species
AUUGAACGCUGGCGGCAGGCCUAAUACAUGCAAGUCGAACGAGUGGCGGACGGGCGAGUAAUUUAUUGAAAACUGCCUAAAGGAGGGGGAUAACUAGUGGAAACGGUAGAUAAUACCGCAUAACAUGGGAUGUGCCCAGAUGGGAUGAGCUAGGAGGUGGGGGAAAGGCUCACUUAGGCGACGCUGCCUAGCUGGUCUGAGAGUGUGAACGGCCACACGGGAACUGAGACACGGCCCAGACUCCUACGGGAGGCAGCAGUGGUGAAUAUUCCACAAUGGGCGCAAGUCUGAUGGAGCCAUGCCGCGUGAAUGAAGAAGGCUUUCGGGUUGUAAAGCACUUUCAGCGGGGAGGCGUUAUCCGCACAAAAAGCAACGGCUAACUCCGUGCCAGCAGCCGCGGUAAUAC